rnacentral:rRNA from 1 species
GAAUUCGCCCUUAGAGUUUGAUCCUGGCUCAGGACGAACGCUGGCGGCGUGCCUAACACAUGCAAGUCGAACGGAAGUUAGAGCUUCGGUUUUAACUUUAGUGGCGAACGGGUGAGUAACGCGUGAGGAACCUGCCUUUCAGUGGGGGACAACAGUUGGAAACGACUGCUAAUACCGUAUGACACUUUUGGGAGACAUCUCCUGAAAGUCAAAGCUUUAUGUGCUGAAAGAUGGCCUCGCGUCUGAUUAGCUGGUUGGUGAGGUAACGGCUCACCAAGGCGACGAUCAGUAGCCGGUCUGAGAGGAUGAACGGCCACAUUGGGACUGAGAUACGGCCCAGACUCCUACGGGAGGCAGCAGUGGGGAAUAUUGGGCAAUGGGGGAAACCCUGACCCAGCAACGCCGCGUGAAGGAAGAAGGCCUUCGGGUUGUAAACUUCUUUUACCAGGGACGAAGGACGUGACGGUACCUGGAGAAAAAGCAACGGCUAACUACGUGCCAGCAGCCGCGGUAAUACGUAGGUUGCAAGCGUUGUCCGGAUUUACUGGGUGUAAAGGGCGUGUAGGCGGAGAUGCAAGUUGGGAGUGAAAUCCAUGGGCUCAACCCAUGAACUGCUCUCAAAACUGUAUCCCUUGAGUAUCGGAGAGGCAAGCGGAAUUCCUAGUGUAGCGGUGAAAUGCGUAGAUAUUAGGAGGAACACCGGUGGCGAAGGCGGCCCUCUGGGCCGAGACCGACGCUGAGGCGCGAAAGCUGGGGGAGCGAACAGGAUUAGAUACCCUGGUAGUCCCAGCCGUAAACGAUGGACGCUAGGUGUGGGGGGACGAUCCCCCCGUGCCGCAGCCAACGCAUUAAGCGUCCCGCCUGGGGAGUACGGCCGCAAGGCUAAAACUCAAAGGAAUUGACGGGGGCCCGCACAAGCAGCGGAGCAUGUGGCUUAAUUCGAAGCAACGCGAAGAACCUUACCAGGGCUUGACAUAUGGGUGAAGCGGGGGAGACCCCGUGGCCGAGAGGAGCCCAUACAGGUGGUGCAUGGCUGUCGUCAGCUCGUGUCGUGAGAUGUUGGGUUAAGUCCCGCAACGAGCGCAACCCCCGCCGCGUGUUGCCAUCGGGUGAUGCCGGGAACCCACGCGGGACCGCCGCCGUCAAGGCGGAGGAGGGCGGGGACGACGUCAAGUCAUCAUGCCCCUUAUGCCCUGGGCUGCACACGUGCUACAAUGGCCGGUACAGAGGGAUGCCACCCCGCGAGGGGGAGCGGAUCCCGGAAAGCCGGCCCCAGUUCGGAUUGGGGGCUGCAACCCGCCCCCAUGAAGUCGGAGUUGCUAGUAAUCGCGGAUCAGCAUGCCGCGGUGAAUGCGUUCCCGGGCCUUGCACACACCGCCCGUCA